CCUACGGGAGGCAGCAGUGAGGAAUAUUGGUCAAUGGACGAGAGUCUGAACCAGCCAAGUAGCGGGAAGGAUGACUGCCCUAUGGGUUGUAAACUUCUUUUAUAUGGGAAUAAAACGUUCCACGUGUGGGAUUUUGUAUGUACCAUAUGAAUAAGGAUCGGCUAACUCCGUGCCAGCAGCCGCGGUAAUACGGAGGAUCCGAGCGUUAUCCGGAUUUAUUGGGUUGAAAGGGAGCGUAGGUGGAUUGUUAAGUCAGUUGUGAAAGUUUGCGGCUCAACCGUAAAAUUGCAGUUGAAACUGGCAGUCUUGAGUACAGUAGAGGUGGGCGGAAUUCGUGGUGUAGCGGUGAAAUGCUUAGAUAUCACGAAGAACUCCGAUUGCGAAGGCAGUUCACUGGACUGCAACUGACACUGAGGCUCGAAAGUGUGGGUAUCAAACAGGAUUAGAUACCCGGGUAGUC
rnacentral:rRNA from 1 species